rnacentral:lncRNA from 1 species
AUGAGUUCCGGAUUAUUUUGUUCUCAAAAUUCAAAUGGUGUCAGUACAUCAGGCAGGUACAUGACCUCCCCCUGAACUACAGGCAACAUGAGAACAGGCUACAGUGUACUUCAUAUUUAAAACCAUCAUCAUCAUAAAUCAGUUUUCCACAGUAUUAGAAAUAAGGCAUGUUUCAGAUGUGCAAACAGCUGCUCUAUCCAGUCCUCAGAUACCAUAUUUGCCCUUUAGCUCUUCCACUUUUGCUACAUAAGCUUUCAUUGCAUCUUCUUUGGACAUUCCUUUCAAUGCAUUCCAGGCGUCCCACUUUGCUUUGCCUUUGAAGUCAAGCAUACCAGGGCGAUCCGUGUUCACGUCGCCCACCGUGGCCUGCUUGUAGUGGCUGUACACGUCGAGCAUCUCCUGGUCCGUAGGCUGAGACUUGAGCUGCUUCACCUCCUCAGCCGCCUUCUGGAACGCAGCCUCAGACAUGGCGACAGACCCCUAACGCCGCGCACCGCAAUUCUGCCGCACCGCCCCAGCCGCUCUGCCGCCUCAGCCCUCGCCACCGAGCCCGCUGGCCAAUCCCGGCGCCGCGGCUGACGCCGCGCCAAUCGGCGCUCUCAGGGGGCGGGGAGAAUCGGGCAAAGGGCCAAUGGAAAGGCAGCGCCGCAUAGGCCAGCCUUGGAGAAGCCGCCCGCCUCGGCGCGGCGCU